UUGCCAGCUACCCCGCCGUUCUUCACUUUCCUCUCCAUUCUCUCUCCUAAAUUUCUCACGGCCAAAACUUUAAAACCCGCCUAACUAGCCGCUCAACCACUGUAUCUCGGUGGUAACUCGUCCUUCCAACUGCCGUUAGAGACCACCGAAGAAACCUAAACGACCGAAGACCUCGACUCCUGCUCACUCCUUCGACCGAACCCAAAACCGAACCUACAUGCAAAACACAACAUGGUUCGAAGAGACCUUGGCUCCACUCUUUCCGGUGACCUCAAGAGACCUCGACUCCGACGAUGGACACCCUCAUAACAAGCCUCUCAAAGGAUCCCCAACGCCUCAGCCUUGGACUCCGAUGACUCAAACAGACUCGAUCUAACCCUAAAAAUGGACAUGCAAAGACCAAAGGGCUAUAGGAUCUUUCGAAUACUCACCCCGAUGAUGACUCCGACGAAGCUCCUCCUCUUUUUGCUUCCAGUGACGCUAAGAACUUCCCAACUUCCGGCGAAGACCCGAAACAGAACCCAGGUAAACGGAUCUCUCUCUUUUUUCUCCUUUUUUUUUUGUUGGUUCGAGCACCCCCUUUGAAUAGAAAAACGUUGUUUAAAAAAAUAGAAUCGUUCUGAUGUUUUGUUUCUACUACUUUGUAUUUCUGAAAGAAGAAAAGCCUUGUGUUGCUAAUAAAAAAACUGCUCUGAAAUCUCCUCUGUUUGUGUGAUCUCCUUUUUUCGUUUUUUUGUCUGUGAUGCUUGAUAAAUUUCGGUUCUCCCUCGUUCCUCCCUUUUUACGGAUGAUGAAUGCCCCUCUCAACGAACGAUUUCAUUCAGUUGUUGCUUAUGGUUUUUCCCCACGUUAUGUUGAAUGGUGUUUUGUAAUCCUCUCCUUGUUUGCUGCAGGUAUGCUUCCAAUGGUUGAGGAGGGACAGCUGGCUCAUGAGACUCGACUGGCUUGGUUUGGGCUUGUUGGGCUUGUUUCGGGUUAUUGGGCUUAAACCCAAAUUGAGUCUUUUUAAUGACCUAAAAAAUAAUAAUAAAAUUAAAUUAAUAUCUAAUAUUUAAUAAUUAU